rnacentral:rRNA from 1 species
GAUGAACGCUGGCGGCGUGCCUAAUACAUGCAAGUAGAACGCUGAAGGAAGGAGCUUGCUCUUUCCGGAUGAGUUGCGAACGGGUGAGUAACGCGUAGGUAACCUGCCUGGUAGCGGGGGAUAACUAUUGGAAACGAUAGCUAAUACCGCAUAACAGUAGAUGUUGCAUGAUAUCUACUUAAAAGGUGCAAUUGCACCACUACCAGAUGGACCUGCGUUGUAUUAGCUAGUUGGUGAGGUAACGGCUCACCAAGGCGACGAUACAUAGCCGACCUGAGAGGGUGAUCGGACACACUGGGACGGAGACGCGGCCCAGACUCCUACGGGAGGCAGCAGUAGUGAAUCUUCGGCAAGGGACGGAAGUCUGACCGAGCAACGCCGCGUGAGUGAAGAAGGUUUUCGGAUCGUAAAGCUCUGUUGUAAGAGAAGAACGAGUGUGAGAGUGGAAAGUUCACACUGUGACGGUAUCUUACCAGAAAGGGACGGCUAACUACGUG